GACGAACGCUGGCGGCGUGCCUAAUACAUGCAAGUCGAGCGGGCUUAUUCGAGUAGCUUGCUAUUUGGAUAAGUCAGCGGCGGACGGGUGAGUAACACGUGGGUAAUCUGCCUCGUAGUCUGGGAUAACAAGCCGAAAGGUUUGCUAAUACCGGAUGAGUUCAUGUUAUUGCAUAGUGACAUGAAGAAAGGGGAGACCCGCUAUGAGAUGAGCCCGCGUCCCAUUAGCUAGUUGGUGGGGUAAAGGCCUACCAAGGCAACGAUGGGUAGCCGGCCUGAGAGGGUGUACGGCCACACUGGGACUGAGACACGGCCCAGACUCCUACGGGGGGCAGCAGUAGGGAAUUUUCGGCAAUGGGCGAAAGCCUGACCGAGCGACGCCGCGUGAGGGACGAAGGCCUUCGGGUUGUAAACCUCUGUCUGGGGGGAUGAGAACGGACGGUACCCCCGGAGGAAGCCCCGGCUAACUACGUG
rnacentral:rRNA from 1 species